rnacentral:rRNA from 1 species
UACGAAGGGGGCUAGCGUUGCUCGGAAUCACUGGGCGUAAAGCGCACGUAGGCGGAUUGCUAAGUCAGGGGUGAAAUCCUGGAGCUCAACUCCAGAACUGCCUUUGAUACUGGCGAUCUCGAGUCCGGGAGAGGGAUGCGGAAUUCCAGGUGUAGCGGUGAAAUGCGUAGAUAUCUGGAGGAACACCGGUGGCGAAGGCGGCAUCCUGGACCGGCAUUGACGCUGAGGCGCGAAAGCCAGGGGAGCAAACGGG